GGGGGUAAAUUAAUAAAAUAAAAUUAAUAAAAAAAUUUUUAAUAUUGGGGGAUAUUAAAGUAUUUUUUAAAGAAAAAAUAAAAAAUUUUAUAGUGGAUUAAUAUUGUAAAAGAAAUUUGAAAUAAAAUUGAAAAAAAAAUUAAAAAAAAAGUAAAUUUAAUUUAUUGUAUCUUGUGUAUCAGAGUUUAUUUAAAAAUAUUUAAUAAAUAAUAAAAUCUCGAAUUUAAAAGAGUUAAUUAAUUAUAAAAGUUAAUGUUGAAUAAUUAUUUUGAAUAAUUAAUUAGAAAUGAAAUGUUAAUCGUUUUUAAAUAUAUCUAGUUUUUUUAGAAAAAAAUUUAAUUUUAAAUUUAAAAAAUUUUAUAUUUAAUUAAUUAAAUAUAAAAUUUUAAAAUUUAAUAUUUUAGGGGAUAAGCUUUAAUUUAUAUAUUUAUAAUAAAUAUAAUUUAUUAAUAAAAUUUUUAAAAUUUAUAUUGUUUAAAAAUUAUAAUUUAUUAAAAAAAAUUUUAUAAUAAAUAAAAUUUAAUUAAUUUAUUUAAUUUUUUAUAAAAAAAUAUUUUUUAAUAAGAAAAAUAUAGGAAUAAUGAUAAAAUUAGUAUAUUAAAAAUUUAAAGUAUAAAUUUAAAUUAAAAUUAAUUUAAAGGAAUUCGGCAAAAUUUUAUACUCACUUGUUUAUCAAAAACAUGUCUUUUAGAUAAUAAUUUAAAGUCUAAUCUGCCCACUGAUUAAUAAAAAAUUAAAGGGCUGCAGUAUAUUGACUGUACAAAGGUAGCAUAAUCAUUAGUCUUUUAAUUGAAGACUUGUAUGAAAGAUUUGAUGAAGUAUAAACUGUCUCUAAAUUAUUAAUAAAAAUUAAUUUUUUAGUUAAAAAGCUAAAAUUUAUUUAAAAGACGAGAAGACCCUAUAGAGUUUUAUAAUUUUAAUAAUUAAAAUUAAAUAUUUAAUUAUAAAUUAAAAUUAUUAAAAUUAUUUUAUUGGGGUGAUAGAAAAAUUAAAAAAACUUUUUUUAAUAAAUUUCAUAAAUAAGUGAGUUAUUGAUCCAUUUAUAAUGAUUAAAAGAAAAAAUUACCUUAGGGAUAACAGCGUAAUUUUUUUUUUUAGUACAAAUAAAAAAAAAAGGUUGCGACCUCGAUGUUGGAUUAAGAUAAAAAUUAAAUGCAAAAGUUUAAAAUUUUGAUCUGUUCGAUCAUUAAAAUCUUACAUGAUCUGAGUUCAAACCGGUGUAAGCCAGGUUGGUUUCUAUCUUUAAAAAAUUAAAAUAUUUUAGUACGAAAGGAUCAAGUAUUUUAAAUAAUUUAAAAAUUAAUGAAUAUUAUUAAAAUUAUUUAACUAUUUUGGCAGAAAAAUGUAAUGAUUUUAGAAGUCAUG
rnacentral:rRNA from 1 species